ensembl:Y_RNA Y_RNA Y RNA
GGUUGGUCCAAGUGCAGUGGAGCUUACCAUUAAGUGAUCACUGCCAGUUACAGAUUUCUUCGUUCCUUCUCCACUCUCACUGCUUCACUUGACUUUAA